rnacentral:snoRNA from 10 species
AAGACCAUAUUUUCAGGGAUCAUUUCUAUAGUUCAUUCAUUACUAGAGAAGUUUCUCUGAACAUGCAGGGCACCGCAAACCAUGAGGAAGAGGCACAGCAUUCUCUUCUGAGCCUGAAGCCAGCUCUUCUUGCUUCACUGCCAUUUGCCCUUCAUGAUCAUUCUCUUCCUGCAGGAGAGUAAGAAAGGAUGCAGUCUGAGUGG